GAUGAACGCUAGCUACAGGCUUAACACAUGCAAGUCGAGGGGCAGCAUGAACAAAGCUUGCUUUGUUUGAUGGCGACCGGCGCACGGGUGCGUAACACGUAUCCAAUCUGCCCGCGGCUCGGGGAUAGCCCAUCGAAAGAUGGAUUAAUACCCGAUGGCGUGGUCACCCCGCAUGGGGUUUCCACUAAAGGUUUUCCGGCCGCGGAUGGGGAUGCGUAUGAUUAGGUAGUAGGCGGGGUAACGGCCCACCUAGCCUUCGAUCAUUAGGGGUUCUGAGAGGAAGGUCCCCCACACUGGAACUGAGACACGGUCCAGACUCCUACGGGAGGCAGCAGUGAGGAAUAUUGGUCAAUGGGCGAGAGCCUGAACCAGCCAAGUAGCGUGAAGGAAGACUGCCCUAUGGGUUGUAAACUUCUCUUGUUCGGGAAUAAAGUGCAGUAUGUAUACUGUUUUGUAUGUACCGUUCGAAUAAGCAUCGGCUAAUUCCGUGCCAGCCGCCGCUGUAAUAC
rnacentral:rRNA from 1 species